rnacentral:rRNA from 1 species
AGUCUAAGGUUUCCUGGGGAAGGUUCGUCCGCCCAGGGUAAGUCGGGACCUAAGGUGAGGCCGAAAGGCGUAGCCGAUGGAUAGCAGGUUGAGAUUCCUGCACCACCGAAAUACUUAAAAGAUGUAAGGGACACAGGAGUGGAAGGAAAGCGAGGAAGAGGAAAGACUCGUAUCGAAAGAUAUAGUGAAAAUAGAAAGUAACGAAUUUCCAAGAAGCACACUGGCGAGAAAAGCUUGCAGAUAUUGUAUAGAGGUGCCCGUACCGCAAACCGACACAGGUAGAUGAGGAGAGGAUCCUAAGAUGAGCGAGAGAAGCAUUGUUAAGGAACUCGGCAAACUGACCCCGUAACUUAGGGAGAAGGGGUACUGGGAUAAAACCCAGUCGCAGAGAAUAGUCCCAAGCAACUGUUUAACAAAAACACAGGUUUCUGCUAAAUCGAAAGAUGAAGUAUAGGAGCUGACGCCUGCCCAGUGCUGGAAGGUUAAGGGGAAAUGUUAGGAGCAAUCCGAAGCAUAGAACUGAAGCCCCAGUGAACGGCGGCCGUAACUAUAACGGUCCUAAGGUAGCGAAAUUCCUUGUCAGGUAAGUUCUGACCCGCACGAAAGGCGUAAUGAUUUGAGCACUGUCUCGACAAUGUACCCGGCGAAAUUGUAGUACUAGUGAAGAUGCUAGUUACCUGCGACAAGACAGAAAGACCCCAUGGAGCUUUACUGUAGUUUGAUACUGGGUUUUGAUUAUUUAUGUACAGGAUAGGUGGGAGACGAAGAAGCAUUGGCGCCAGUCGAUGUGGAGUCACCCUUGGGAUACCACCCUUAAAUGAUUGAAAUUCUAACCAAUAGUCAUAAACUGGCUAGGGGACAAUGUCAGACGGGCAGUUUGACUGGGGCGGUCGCCUCCAAAAGAGUAACGGAGGCGCGCAAAGGUUUCCUCAGCGCGGACAGAAAUCGCGCAAGAGAGUGCAAAGGCAGAAGGAAGCUUAACUGAGAGACUGACAAGUCGACCAGAUACGAAAGUAGGUCUUAGUGAUCCGGUGGUUGUAAGUGGAAAUGCCAUCGCUCAACGGACAAAAGUUACCCUGGGGAUAACAGGCUUAUCUCCCCCAAGAGUUCACAUCGACGGGGAGGUUUGGCACCUCGAUGUCGGCUCAUCGCAUCCUGGGGCUGAAGUAGGUCCCAAGGGUUGGGCUGUUCGCCCAUUAAAGCGGUACGCGAGCUGGGUUCAGAACGUCGUGAGACAGUUCGGUCCUUAUCUGUCGCAGGCGGAGGAUAUUUGAGGGGAGUUGGCCCUAGUACGAGAGGACCAGGCUGAACUUACCAAUGGUGCACCAGUUGUCAUACCAAUGGCAUAGCUGGGUAGCUAAGUAGGGAAGGGAUAAACGCUGAAAGCAUCUAAGUGUGAAGCCCACCCCAAGAUAAGAUAUCCCAUACCGUAAGGUAGUAAGAUUCCACGUAGACUAUGUGGUAGAUAGGUUGGAGGUGUAAGUAUAGUGAUAUAUUAAGCUGACCAAUACUAAUAAAUCGAGGGCUUAACCA